UGAGGAAAUUCACCAUCGUCCAUCCGCUCUUGUCUUGCAGUUCCGAAACAUCGGGGUGAUGUUGGUCGGCCAGCAGUGUGUGUGUUUGUGUUUGCUACUAGUGGAAGCAGCUGUGGCUCGAAAACAAAAUACAACCCUGGUGCAGCAGCCCCAUUAAAAGUGAUUUCAAGAGUUUGUGGCGCUACUGGUCUCUAGGAAGAUAACUUAACAGAACUCAUACGGCUGGGAGUUGUAGAGAAUGUUUGCUGGAUAUGAGGCACUGGAAGAGUAUGAAGAUAAGCUCUACCAGGAGGCAGGGGACUCCAGUGAGUCGGGGCCAGACAGUGAGGUGGAGUUCCAGCUGUACAGCCAAGUACUCUAUUCCAUGAAGCUGGAUGAGCCAGGAUCAAGCGAAAGAGAAAAAGAGAGAAAUCAGCCCUCUGCUGCAACAUUGCUGGAGAAGAGGAAUGACAUCUUCUCCGAUAGUGAAUCCAUCCUUAUUUCAGAUGCUGCGUAGGUCGUCAUAGUAUCGGAUGAGACUGAUCUAGACAGUGUCUGCAAUAUCAAAGGAAAGAAACGGCCAAUUUCCAAGACUGCCAAGAGGAGGUCGUUGGAUGGGCAGACUCUGCUGGAGUCCAACGGUUUCACUGAGAGGACACCCAGCUCCAAACCCUUCAGGCUGAGAGAUGCCAUCACCAUGAGCACAGGCCUCAAUAGUUUUCAAGUUGUGAUAGUGGAGAAGAGCAGGAAAUCCCAGGAUGGGGAAACAUCAGACAGCGAUUAUUCAGACCGCGUGGAGAGCUGGAUGAUUCUAGGCAGGGCCAAUCAGGAUGGUAACAACACCAUCCUGCUCAAUCUGGAUGGGAGCACCACUUCAGAAAACGAAGCAGGUAAUAGCUCCUCCUUUUUUAUUUCUUAUAAACAGUUGUUCAACUCUGAAAAUUAAUAGGCAAAUUAGUAGCAGGAAAACAGUUAUUUUCUUAUGAGUAAGGCUGUAAAUCUGUUUAAUAUAUUGAAUUUUAAAACCAUUCAUCUUUUAAACUAUACACACGUACACAUUUUCAGUACAAUAUUGUAUUGACUUUAUAAUAGUAUUGAUAUUUAUGUGUAUUCUUGCUUAAAACCACAUCAGGUCCUUCGCAUAACAUUCAGUCAUUACGUAGAAAACUUAGUAAAAGAUUCAAACUACAGUGACCAGGAGUUUGGAAUGCUCCCAUUCAUAUUUGUAGAAGUUUUACUGCUAAAAUAUGAGUUGCAUCAUGGUAUAAUUUUUACACCAUGAUGUCAGCAACUUGGUGUUUUAAAGUUCUAAUAUCAGUUCAACUUAGA